rnacentral:rRNA from 1 species
GACGAACGCUGGCGGCGUGCUUAACACAUGCAAGUCGAACGGAAAGGCCCUGCUUUUGUGGGGUGCUCGAGUGGCGAACGGGUGAGUAACACGUGAGUAACCUGCCCUUGACUUUGGGAUAACUUCAGGAAACUGGGGCUAAUACCGGAUAGGAGCUCCUGCUGCAUGGUGGGGGUUGGAAAGUUUCGGCGGUUGGGGAUGGACUCGCGGCUUAUCAGCUUGUUGGUGGGGUAGUGGCUUACCAAGGCUUUGACGGGUAGCCGGCCUGAGAGGGUGACCGGCCACCUUGGGACUGAGAUACGGCCCAGACUCCUACGGGAGGCAGCAGUGGGGAAUAUUGCACAGUGGGCGGAAGCCUGAUGCAGCAACGCCGCGUGCGGGAUGACGGCCUUCGGGUUGUAAACCGCUUUCGCCUGUGACGAAGCGUGAGUGACGGUAAUGGGUAAAGAAGCACCGGCUAACUACGUG